GGGGGUGUAGCUCAGAUGGUAGAGCGCUCGCUUAGCAUGCGAGAGGUACUGCGAUCGAUACCCAGCACCUCCA
rnacentral:tRNA from 1 species